UCAUUUACAAGAACAAAACAGAACAUAUGCUAGUUUAGAUCCAUACAAGAUUUUCUCAAAUGCUUAUUAGGGCAUAACACACAACACAUGUUGUGCUAUAGGAAGAACGCAUAAACAGAGGAAAUUGGACAUAGAAUCGUUAAGUAGGUGUACUAAAAAGCACACAAAACAUGUACUAAAAAAGAACACAACUCCUUAGCGUUUGCAUUAGCCUCCUAUGGCAGAGGUGAACGGUCUGAUCGCUGCGUCAUCGCACGGCCUCGUGUGGCCGAGGUGAACGGCCUGUGGUGGUAAGGGUGAACGGCUUGAGCGUUGCAUCGUCGAACGGCCUCGUGUCGAGGCAGUGAACGACCUGGGCCGUGAAGGUUGAAGCAGGGGGUGUUGAGAGGCUGUGUGGGACUAAUACUGCACUGUCAGAAUCAGUUUUGUAGCUGCUCACCACGCACACCUACUCAACUGCUCCGUGCCACCGUCCCUCUACGCAUAAGUACACUUGCCGCCUACCCGUUGUCGUUGGAUGUACCUUGCACACACACAACAGCCAACCAAUUAGCAUGCACAAGUUCUGUACAGUAACAUUACAAAUUUGCAAUGAAACCUAAAAAGUUCUGUACUUUGAAAUACUUCAUUUUACUUUCCAAAUACCUUUUUUUAAAUAUGAACUUCUAUAUUUAUUUCCUUAGAACUUAUUAUUAUUUCCCUCCGAACAAAAAAACAUGAUUGGUUUAUUUACCCAUAAAAUAUUUGAAGUAUGUCAAAUGAAAAAACAUUCCUAGGCCUGGAAGUGAGAAAACACAUUACACUCAUCGAGGUAGAUAUCAUUCUGUGCGUACCUUGCCAUAGACCACAUCGGAUUUUAAGAUUCUAGAUGAACUUCAGCAAAGUGAAGUGAAACCUUUUUCUAACCUGAGAACUGCAGAAAAUUAGCUUGAUUUAUUUAACCUAAGCAAAUAAACUCUUAACUACUUAUGGCAAGUAUAUUUGAACUGAUGUAUCCUUUUUCUAGUUACUGAAUUGUUGUAGUAUUACUUCCUGCCCUUCCAAACUCGUACUGAAAACAUGUACCAAAGAACAUCAUGCAUCAGUGUUCAGAAGACAUACAAGAGCUACACACUGCCGUGAGGUACCAACUUUUCAACGGUUCAGUUCAAAAUUCAACAAUUCAAUUUUCAAUAGAUCAAACCAAGGAAAGACAACUGACCGAAGGGGUGGCCAACGGCCACAGUUGCUCACUGCGUGCACGACAGUGUCCAACAACCUCUAUCCUGGCUCAUUGUGGAACGACGUGCUGGGCGUAAUCCACGGCCUGGCAUAUGAGAUGCAAAAAAGAGUUAGAGAGGACUUAAGCUAAUUUUUUAUAGCUGAUGAUGUAGCAUUACAAAAAAUAAUAUACUUUAGCCCAUAAAUGCAAAGUACUAUGAACUUUUCCGGAGCUUUUUGUUGAACUGAAGCAUGCUCCAGAGCAGGACGAGAUCGAGCGGAUUGGGAGGAUGCUGAGCAACAUAUUGGAGAUGCAAGACCACAUUACAUCAAUUAGCGAUGUCACUGAACUUUGGGACAUUUAUACUACAAGAAUUGAUUCUACAGCAAUCUUGAACUUUCAAGUUCCAUACGCAAGAUAGCUACAAUUUGCUAAAAUCAAUCACCAGCAGAAAAAACACCAAAAGGUUCUUCAAAUGGUUGCUUGAGGAAGAGCCAAAGCUAUUUUGGGGUGGCGGACGGCAGCAGCAUGUGGGCUGGGUUGUCUCGCACUGGGAAGGAUGAGGAAAACGGCAACCCAACCACUAUAGUGGGAAUAGGAGCUGACGGCCGUGGACUGCUGCUUGGCUGAACUCGAUCGUCCGGAUGCCACGGGGCUGGAUUGGGGACGGCGCUGGACAUAUUGCAACAAUUACCAAGGAGCUUAGAGCAGCAGUGUACAUCGGCAAUGGACUGCUCAUGGCGAAGUGCGUGCCUCCCAAGCCGCGGCGUCGAACUACUUCGAGUUGUGUUGUUGAACAACCCGGUGUGGCGAUGGUGAACGGCAUGGGCGGUGCCGCGGUGGAGCCCCACCAGCAGUGGCAGGAAGCUCGACACAAUCGGCCUAGUAGCUACGACGGUGAACGGCCUGGGGUGGCCGGGUUGGAUGCUGGUCGCAGUGGCGGCGAACCCAACGCCCUGGCCACACCGGGAUGGUAGGCAACCAGAAGGAGCGGAGGGGCGUGUCCACGACGGAGAGAUUGAAAGGCCUGUGGUUGCGGCGUUGAACUGCCUGUACGCGACAGUGGAGCGAUAGCAGCGCAUGAAUCUGGUAUAGGCGACAGCCAUGGUGGUCGUUGUGUUGCAGUGCGGCGGCCCUAUUUGUCUAUCGGCAAGCUAGAUGUAUGUGUUAAAAAUGGCUAAUGCAGCAUUGGUGGAGCUAUGUGUAUUACUGCAGGGGCCAUGCCCCCCAGCUCUUGGAUUUUUUGUGAAGAAAUUCUGACAAAGAAGACGAAUAGGGCAGGAACAUUGCUUUAUUUGACAAAACUCAUUGGCUGAGGUGGAUUUGGUAGUGGGUUCAUGUUAGGUGUUACAGGAACAUUGACAUUUGAAGAGGCCUUGUCUUGCCCAGAGAUCUGUCAAAAAUAAAGGGCAUAAUCUCAGGGUUGAGUCUUUUACUACUACUUCGUAAAUAAAUAUAUAAACUGAAAUCUAGUAAUGGUAAGAACCUCAGGUAUUGGGUUGGACCUAGAAUCAACUAUUCAGAGAAUGUAACUCACUAUACCAUAAGAACAACACACUGCAAUCUAUACUACAACAAAUUAGAUAACCAGGGAGAAAAAAGAAACGCGCCGCAAAUUUAAGUGUUCUAUUGUGAAGCCGAACAAGGCCAGAAAACAGCCUAACAGCAUACUGGGCAAUCUCCUCUAUUUCAUACUCAGCAAAAGCAAAACGUUUGGGUCGACUAGUUUCCUUGUCACGGGGUAUGUGCAAGUCUACUACACGACCUACCUGAAUAAGAAUCUCAUACAAAACCCUCUCCGAGACCUUUUCAUCCAAGUUACCUAUUUAAGAAAUACACAGUUCAAGAAUUAAUACAGUACUGGUGAUUACUCCAUUAUAUUUAGGCAUGCAAAAAAGAGAGGCAAAGUGGAACAAUAACAAUCGUUGAAAAAUAGCGAAACUAGAGUACAGCAACACGUCAACCAUGGUAAACAUAUAUAUGCAAAAAAGAGGGGCAAAGUGGGACAUGAACAAUCAUUGAAAAAUAGCAGAACUAGAGUACUGCAACAGUGUCAACUAUGAAAAACAUAGAUCAGUCAACUAGCAGAACUAGAGGAUCUGCAACAGCCUAACAGUAAAUAAAACUGUCAAGGGCCUCGGUGCCCAAGACAGCAGGACCUCGACUACGUAGUUCGUAGUCGCGGUGGAUAGGAGCGCUAGGGUUUUUGCCUGGCUGCUCUAUGAUGCGGGAGGGGAAGAUAGAAGGAAAUAACUUUAUUGCUUAUCCCUAAAGGGUGCUAACUAUCUGAUAUAUAAAGGCCCCAUGGGCUAAUAACAAACUAGAAACCUAUACGAAACAAACUAGUCUAGGAACUAAUGUGCCCGGAUCAGGACUCCUGUCCAGCCUGCGCCUUGCCUGAUGCGGCCAUCGGCUGCUCCUGGCCGCGCGGCCCACGUCUGUAAGACAUGCCCCACAUGACAAAAACCACUAAGAUACCCUGAUACAAAAGCAUGUUCAUUUCUAUCUUACAACAAUGUCUUUCAAGAAGCAUAGUUAGUUAUAAGCUGUGGUGAAUUCCUAUCAGUGACACAAAGUUGUCAGCUACUUAAAUAGGCCCUCUAUGGCUAGCCCUAUAACGUGUACCAUUAAUCCAUGAUGGUCAUAAAUCUCACAACUCUAUCAUUCACACAUCUAACCCUGGAUAAUGCAUUUACUAAGCAGGUUCAAUUUGCAAUUAGAUUUGGUUUUCAGGCAUAUAUGCUUAUGCUGAUUUUCACUAUGUGCAUGCUUACAAAAUUUCAAUUGAAAGCACCACAGAGCCCAGAACACCAAGAAUGAUUGUUGCACAAGGAAAUCAGCAUGUUCAAGUUAAUUAAUCUGCCAAUAUACAAGUAAACAUAGUACAGAGAACAAUAUUCCGAAUCUAGGAGCUAGGUAAGCAACACAUAAGGCAAUCACCGACUGUGCAAGCUUAAUAAUCAAUUAAACUAUACUAUCCAAACUACGGUGAUUGAAGCAUAAACUGUUGUGGCUCUGAAUUUACCGGGGUGCUCUUCGUCGAGCUCCGUUGGCUGAGCGGCCGGGCGAGGUCGCGGAGGCAGAGGUAGGUGGUGUCGGUGGGCAAGGGGCAUGCAUCAGCAGCAGCAGAAAUGCUGCAGCUGAGCUAGACAGUCGUAGGUGCAGUAGCAGCUUGUAGCAAGGAGCGGCCUGCACUCAGCUCCUUGAGCGACUGGCCACAAAACAAGAAGUUGUACUGUUGGGCAGGAGGUCCUCAACCCCGCAACUCCUCCAGCAGGCUCCACUGUUUGCCGUUGAAUUAUAAGCCAUGGCAUUGGAGUGGGAUGCGUCCACACUGACGACAUUGAACAGACAGGGGUGGUGGCUGCGAACUGCCUGUACGUGGUGGUGGCGUAGUACCAUCAGGGAGGAGGAAGAGUGGUGGCAGGGGAGCAUCACCUGCUGCCGGAGGAUAAGUUGGCAAUAUCGUAUUCUAUUAUGUAUUGAACUUAAGUGCAGGGUUGAAUUGAACUUUUCUAACACAUAUUCACUGAACUCGGUCCCCUUGAAUGUUUAUUUUUAUAGUUAUGUUGGCAUGAGGCUAUGAAAUACAUCUCAACAAUUGUUUUUGGGUGAGUUUCAAAAAAUAUAAUACUAAGUGAAAUACUGGGCAAUCUCCUCUAUUUCAUACUCAGCAAAAGCAAAACGUUUGGGUCGACUAGUUUCCUUGUCACGGGGUAUGUGCAAGUCUACUACACGACCUACCUGAAUAAGAAUCUCAUACAAAACCCUCUCCGAGACCUUUUCAUCCAAGUUACCUAUUUAAGAAAUACACAGUUCAAGAAUUAAUACAGUACUGGUGAUUACUCCAUUAUAUUUAGGCAUGCAAAAAAGAGAGGCAAAGUGGAACAAUAACAAUCGUUGAAAAAUAGCGAAACUAGAGUACAGCAACACGUCAACCAUGGUAAACAUAUAUAUGCAAAAAAGAGGGGCAAAGUGGGACAUGAACAAUCAUUGAAAAAUAGCAGAACUAGAGUACUGCAACAGUGUCAACUAUGAAAAACAUAGAUCAGUCAACUAGCAGAACUAGAGGAUCUGCAACAGCCUAACAGUAAAUAAAACUGUCAAGGGCCUCGGUGCCCAAGACAGCAGGACCUCGACUACGUAGUU
rnacentral:lncRNA from 1 species